AGAACGAACGCUGGCGGCGGGGUUUAGGCAUGCAAGUCGAGCGAGAAAGCCGCAAGGCAAGUACAGCGGCGUAAGGGUGAGUAAUGGUUAGUCAACGUACCGAGCAGACGCGAAUAAUUUCCCGAAAGGGGCUGUAAUGCGCGAUGAGACCACGCCUUCCACGGGAGGAGCGGUCAAAGGUCGGGGAUCCUUCGGGACCUGGCGCUGUUUGAGCGGACUAACUCUGAUUAGCUAGUUGGCGGGUAACGGCCCACCAAGGCGAUGAUCAGUAGCCGGCCUGAGAGGGUGUCCGGCCACACUGGGACUGAGACACUGCCCAGACUCCUACGGGAGGCUGCAGUCGCGAAUCAUUCACAAUGGGCGCAAGCCUGAUGAUGCCACGCCGCGUGCGGGAUGAAGGCCCUCUGGGUUGUAAACCGCUGUCAAGGGAGAGGAAACGUCACGUGUUAACAGCGCGUGGCCUGACUGCUCCCUAAAGGAACGCCCCGGCAAAACC
rnacentral:rRNA from 1 species